UAGCCUCACACGUGCAAGGGUGCAGGUCAUCUCCUACGUAGGUUACCCCCUUACUCUCUAUAUGGCAAGGUACCGGGACCUAACACGUUCACUGGUUCAUUUAAAUGUAAAGGCUGUAUACGUUAUGUGGGGGGAAGGCCACACAAAGGGGAUGGCACGGGGAGCCACUGGCGGGAAGCACCAGGCCAUAAGUGCCAGGGGGGCUGGUGGGGGCAGGAGGUCCUAAAUUCCGGGGGAGCUUAGCAGGCAAGCAAGCAGCCAGAGGACAGAAGAGAGACCGGCAUUUAGCAAGCUCGGGACUCCAAUCCCUACACUUGCACAGAGGCUCCUCUGCCUCUCUGCCCUCCCCACCUUCCUGGCCGUAGUCUUCAGGUUGUGUCUUUUAAAGAUGUUGUGUUUUUUAAAAAUUUUUAUUUGACAGGUAGAGUUAUAGACAGUGAGAGAGACAGAGAGAAAGGUCUUCCUUCCGUUGGUUCACCCCCCAAAUGGCCGCUGUGGCUGGCGCUGUGCUGAUCCGAAGCCAGGAGCCAGGUGCUUCUUCUUGGUCUCCCACGCGGGCGCAAGGUGCAAGCACUUGGGCCAUCCUCCACUGCCCUCACGGGCCACAGCAGAGAGCUGGACUGGAAGAGGAGCAACCGGCGCCCACAUGGGAUGCCGGCACUGCAGGCAGAGGAUUAACCAAGUGAGCCACAGCACCGGCCCCAGAUGUUGCGUUUUUUAAAGAUGUAUUUAUUUGAAAGAGUUGCAGAGAUUAGAAAGAGGAGAGAGAGAGAGGUCUUCCAUCCGCUGGUUCACUCCUCAAAUGACCUCAAGGGCUGGAGCUGGGCCAAUCCGAAGCCAGGAGCCAGGAGCUUCUUCCUCCCAUGUGGGUGCAGGGGCCCAAGGACCUGGGCCAUCUUUCACUGCUUUUCCAGGCCACAGCAGAGAGCUGGAUCGGAAGUGGAGCAGCCGGGACUCGAACCGGUGCCCAUAGGAAAUACCAAUGGCAUCUCAGGUGGCAGCUUUACCUGCUGAGCCACAGCAGCCCUGGGAGAACAAUUUAACUCACACUUGCAAAGCGAUGUCAGUCAAGUUCUCAUUGGAUCCUGCAGAACCCCUGUGGAAGUGACUGUCUCAGCCCCAGGAGUCAGCCGACGGCCUCCAGCCUGCUUGGACCCCCCUGCCCAUGCCGUGUUGAGGCUCAAGCAGGAGUCAGAGCUUUGAGAGCGGAAGCCCAGAGCUCGGCCUGUUCAUCCCACCUGCCCCUCCGGCCUCUCUCAGCUGGAAAGCCGUGCUUCCCCCGCGGAGCGCAAUUUCCGCGUGCUGUGACACGGGACAGCCAAGCACAGGCCAAGAGGACUACGCACCACCUCCGUGGGGCCCGCAGCACCUGCAGCGACAGCUUUGAGGAUUCUGGUCAGCGGCUCAGGUGUCUCUGGGGAUGGAGCAGAGGGAGCUGUCCCAGGCCUCCCAGAGCAGAGACAGGUGCCAGGGCCAAGUGUCCCAGCAGCCUCUGCUUCUGGGGGUUGGUGCUCCCACUCCCACUUCCACCCCAAGCCCAGGAGGCUGUGGCCAUUUGAGACCUGAGGGUUGCCACAAUUAGGGUGGAGGAGCUCACAGGGCCAGAAGGGAGUGGGGCAGUAGGCUGGAGGAUUUGGGGGAAGGGGUAUUCUAUUUGCGUCCCCAAGAGAGCUGAAUGGGAGGAGAUCCAUGGGAGACAAGAGAUGGGGUAGCCGGCUCUGCCUUAGGGCUGACCGUGUGAAGUCCUGGUGAGCACAGCGGUGCUGGAACUCCAGAAGCCCACGCACCCGCCACCACGCCCUGGGAUUUCUGAUGUGGUGUGGGUCUUGCAGGGAGCGAGGCGGGCAGAAAUAGCCACGCCUCCACCCUCGCUGAGAUGCGUCCUCCCCAGACUCCGCUGAGGCUGGGAGCCACAGCACACCUCUGGUGACCAGCAACCCAUUGAGCCUACCACCACGCGGGCUCAACCUGGGGAGUCUCCUGCUCGUGUCUGGAGUCCUCUCCCCCUCCUCCCCACUCUCCUCUCUUCUCUGGAUGUCCUGGCUUGGAGGCCACACCACCAAGGGAUAGGCAUAAGUUCCCCUUUCCUUGAGGACUUGGAACACCCUUCCCCACCCCACCCGGGCAUCCUUCCCAGCUCCUGGGGCCCCAGUGGCCUCGCCAGAUCCUUCACUCCUGGCCUCAGCCCCACUGCUCCCCAGCACCCGGCGCCCUCUGCAGGCCAGCACACGACAAUCUUGCCACAGUGCCCAUGAGCAUGCUGGACGCUUCCGUCUUAUUCCAAAUCCAAGGCCCCCUCCACGCUGUGUGCUAGGAGGCCGGGGGCGGUGGGGGGGCUUGAACCCCUGGCUGCAAAUAUUCUUCCCUGUCACCUCUGCAGCUCGAUCCUCUCCUGUGUGGCUCACCCUUUUGGGGAGUGUGCAACAGCUGGGGCUGACCAGGCUGAGCCAGGAGCCUGGAGCUCCAUCUGGGUCUCCCACGUGGGUGGCAGGGACCAAGCCCUUGGGCCAUCCUCUGCUGCUUUCCCAGGUGCCUUAGCAGGGAGCUGGACUGGAAGAGGUGGGGCUGGGACUCGAACCAGCGUCCAUAUGGGAUGCUGGUGUCACAGGUGGGGGCUGUGCCACAACACUGACCCCAGGAAUGUGUGAUUUGAAAAUGUCUUGUCAGCUGGUCUAUUACAAAGCCAUUUCUAAACCAGCUGCCACACAUCCAGCGGUGACUUUAGGGUGAAAGGUUGGGACUGCGCCUUUCAUCUGGUCGAGCUGUGAUCCCAACAGGUGGAGUCUUCGGAACUGGAGUUGAAGCCAGAUGAGUCAGACCCCUGGGGCUUCAUCCAGUGUGUGUUCUGGAGCCUUCCUUUCGUUUCUAGUGAAAGCUGCAGGCUGAGCCGCCACAUGCCCGGUGAGAUGGGUUGCCAUGGGACAUUUGAGAUGUGAUUAAGCCUACCCCCCACCUGUCUGGGAUUAAAAUCAGACAGGAAGCCCUGUGCCCCACAGAUAACGGAAGGCUGAGGGGGAAAUGACAUCCGGUUGACUUGGAUUGAUGCAAACCUUACCCAGGGGUGAAAAAAAAAUAUUCAGCUAUUAGGAGAUAAAAGAACAUCUCUACAAAGCACACACAUUUCCCCGAGCGGAGUGGGGGCGGGGGACCACGGAAAGCUACUGCCAAGCUGUAUUCACCGGGCAAAAAUGUGCAGCUCAGAAGGAAGCGGAGCAGGGAGUCAGGCCCGGGAGGCUGCAGCAGGAAGGCGGGUCCAGGGUAAACAGAGUCUUCCGGCCCCGGACUCCUGCAGCCCCCAGCUGGUGAGCAGAAACCAGGCCGGAGCCUGCUCCCCGGAUCAAGAUGAGCUCACCGCUCAGAAAACAUAAGAGUACUUCAAAAACCCAUGGAAUGGAGCUGGCGCUGUGGUGUAGCGGGUAGAGUUGCCAUCUGCAGUGCCGGUAUCCCAUAUGGGUGCCGUUUCGAGACCCGGCUGCUCCACUUCCCAUCAAGCUCUCUGCCAUGACCUGGGAAAGCAGUAGAAGAUCCAAGUCCUUGUGCCCCUGCACCCAUGUGGGAGACCUGGAAGAAGCUCCUGGCUCCUGGCUUUGGAUCUGCGCAGCUCCAGCCGUUGCAGCCAAAUGGGGAGUGAACCAGUGGAUGGAAGACCUCUCUCUCUCUGCCUCUCCUUCUUCCUCUGUGUAGCUCUGACUUUCAAAUAAAUAAAUAAAUCUUUAAAAAAUGAAAAGCUUA